rnacentral:tRNA from 1 species
GGCCAGGUAGCUCAGUUGGUAGAGCAGGGGACUGAAAAUCCCCGUGUCGGCGGUUCAAGUCCGUCUCUGGCCA